UAAGCAUAUCAAUAAGCGGAGGAAAAGAAACCAACAGGGAUUGCCCUAGUAACGGCGAGUGAAGCGGCAACAGCUCAAAUUUGAAAUCUGGCCUCGGCCCGAGUUGUAAUUUGCAGAGGAAGCUUUAGGCGCGGCACCAACUGAGUCCCCUGGAACGGGGCGCCAUAGAGGGUGAGAGCCCCGUAUAGUUGGACGCCUAGCCUGUGUAAAGCUCCUUCGACGAGUCGAGUAGUUUGGGAAUGCUGCUCAAAAUGGGAGGUAAAUUUCUUCUAAAGCUAAAUACCGGCCAGAGACCGAUAGCGCACAAGUAGAGUGAUCGAAAGAUGAAAAGCACUUUGAAAAGAGGGUUAAAUAGCACGUGAAAUUGUUGAAAGGGAAGCGCUUGUGACCAGACUUGCGCCGGGCGGAUCAUCCGGUGUUCUCACCGGUGCACUCCGCCCGGCUCAGGCCAGCAUCGGUUCUCGCGGGGGGAUAAAGGCCUCGGGAACGUAGCUCCUCCGGGAGUGUUAUAGCCCGGGGCGCAAUGCCCUCGCGGGGACCGAGGUUCGCGCAUCUGCAAGGAUGCUGGCGUAAUGGUCAUCAGCGACCCGUCUUGAAACACGGACCAAGGAGUCAAGGUUUUGCGCGAGUGUUUGGGUGUCAAACCCGCACGCGUAAUGAAAGUGAACGUAGGUGAGAGCUUCGGCGCAUCAUCGACCGAUCCUGAUGUUUUCGGAUGGAUUUGAGUAGGAGCGUUAAGCCUUGGACCCGAAAGAUGGUGAACUAUGCUUGGAUAGGGUGAAGCCAGAGGAAACUCUGGUGGAGGCUCGCAGCGGUUCUGACGUGCAAAUCGAUCGUCAAAUCUGAGCAUGGGGGCGAAAGACUAAUCGAACCAUCUAGUAGCUGGUUACCGCCGAAG
rnacentral:rRNA from 1 species